rnacentral:rRNA from 1 species
GAUGAACGCUGGCGGUGUGCCUAAUACAUGCAAGUCGAGCGAACAGACGAGGAGCUUACUCCUCUGACGUUAGCGGCGGACGGGUGAGUAACACGUGGAUAACCUACCUAUAAGACUGGGAUAACUUCGGGAAACCGGAGCUAAUACCGGAUAACAUGUUGAACCGCAUGGUUCAACAGUGAAAGACGGUCUUGCUGUCACUUAUAGAUGGAUCCGCGUCGCAUUAGCUAGUUGGUAAGGUAACGGCUUACCAAGGCAACGAUGCGUAGCCGACCUGAGAGGGUGAUCGGCCACACUGGAACUGAGACACGGGCCAGACUCCUAAGGGAGGCAGCAGUAGGGAAUCUUCCGCAAUGGGCGAAAGCCUGACGGAGCAACGCCGCGUGAGUGAAGAAGGUCUUCGGAUCGUAAAACUCUGUUAUUAGGGAAGAACAAAUGUGUAAGUAACUAUGCACGUCUUGACGGUACCUAAUCAGAAAGCCACGGCUAACUACGUG